rnacentral:tRNA from 1 species
UAAGAUGUGGCUCAGAGGUAGAAUGUUUGCCUAGCAUGCAUUAAGCCCUGGAUUCAAUUUCCAGCAUUAUAU